GGAGCUUCUGGGGAGCCUGGUCCAACCGGUGCAGUAGGAUUCCCUGGGUCUCCUGGUCCCGAUGGGCAACCUGGGGUCAAAGGUGAACCAGGAGAGGGGGUCAGAAGGGUGAGGCUGGAGCACAGGGACUCCAAGGAACAGCUGGUAAACUUGGUUCCCAGGGUCCUGCUGGUGUGACUGGACUAAAGGGGGCCAGAGGAACACAAGGGGCCGCGGGUGGGUCUGGUUUCCCAGGAUUCCCUGGGGGAGUUGGUCCAGCAGGCUCCGUUGGUGAGGUAGGGGCGCCUGGAGACAUUGGUACCCCAGGGAAGGCAGGUACUCCUGGACUUAGAGGCGAGAAUGGAGGCCCUGGGCGUGUAGGAGAGAGGGGGCCCCGGGCCCAGCAGGUGCCCCAGGAGACAAGGGAGAGCCUGGAGAGGAUGGACCAGGGGGCCCUGAUGGGCCGGCGGGACCAGCAGGCAUCUCAGGACAGCGAGGUGUUGUGGGCAUACCUGGAGUCAGAGGAGAGAGCGGGAUGGUUGG